UUUAUGUCAGUUGAGGAGCUACAAACGUUAAUACACGAUGAGGUUCAUCCAGUGCGCGUUCCUGUUCAUUCUCGCGAUGUUAGUGGUUGAUAUCACGGCAACUCCGCAACUACCACCGGCCUUACUUCCAAUUGAGCAGACGGAAUGCCAGACUAACGCCGACUGCCCACCUAUGGAAACCUGUGUCCCGGAUCCGUACACCAACAAGAAGAGAUGUGUGCCCGUUAUAAUUUAAAGUACCACGAAAAAACUACAAAGGUGUUUGGGGCUCGAGGAAAGUUAUCAGCAUCUUUUUAAACGAAUUAAAAUUUUUUGUUAGAUAUUAA